rnacentral:lncRNA from 1 species
GCGGAGUUAAGCCUCAUGUCAGAGUUCGGGAAGGAGGUCCAAGUCAACUCUCCGACACUCAGAGUUGUCUGGCUCACAGUAUUGCUCGACUCUAAUAGAUGGUAGCCCGAUCGCCAGUGAGAUCAUUGCCUCCGCCCCAAAGGUCAAGUUGAAAGGAGUUUCCCCGGUUGGAACACGGGGUGUCGUUCGGUACGCCCAC